rnacentral:rRNA from 1 species
AUACGGAGGGUGCAAGCGUUAAUCGGAAUUACUGGGCGUAAAGGGCGCGUAGGCGGUCUAUCAAGUCAGGUGUGAAAUCCCACGGCUCAACCGUGGAGGUGCAUCUGAAACUGAUAGACUUGAGUAUCGGAGAGGAAAGUGGAAUUCCCGGUGUAGAGGUGAAAUUCGUAGAUAUCGGGAGGAACACCAGUGGCGAAGGCGACUUUCUGGACCAAUACUGACGCUGAGGCGCGAAAGCGUGGGGAGCAAACAGGAUUAGAAACCCCAGUAGUCC